GAUGAACGCUAGCGGCAGGCCUAACACAUGCAAGUCGAGGGGUAACAGGAAAGCUUGCUUUCGCUGACGACCGGCGCACGGGUGCGUAACGCGUAUGCAACCUACCUCAUACUGGAGGAUAGCCCCUGGAAACGGGGAUUAAUACUCCAUAGUAUCACGAAUUCGCAUGUUUUUGUGAUUAAAGUUUUUCGGUAUGAGAUGGGCAUGCGUCCCAUUAGCUUGUUGGUGAGGCAACGGCUCACCAAGGCAACGAUGGGUAGGGGGCCUGAGAGGGUGGUCCCCCACACUGGUACUGAGACACGGACCGG
rnacentral:rRNA from 1 species